UCUCUCUCAUGGCCAGUGUCCUUGCUGUCUCUCUCUCUCAUGGCUAUGUCCUUGCUGUCUCUCUCUCUCUCUCAUGGCUAGUGUCCUUGCUGUCUCUCUCUCAUGGCUAGUGCCCUUGCUGUCUCUCUCUCUCAGGCUAGUGUCCUUGCUGUCUCUCUCUCUCAUGGCCAGUGUCCUUGCUGUCUCUCUCUCUCAGGCUACUGCCCUUGCUGUCUCUCUCUCUCAUGGCUAGCUAGUGUCCUUGCUGUCUCUCUCUCUCAUGGCCAGUGUCCUUGCUGUCUCUCUCAUGGCUAGCAUCCUCUGGUCUACUUUACCCUUACACAACACAGCUCUGUGAUGGACUACUAUACCCUUACACAACACAGCACUGUGAUGGACUACUUUACCCUUACACAACACAACACAGCUCUGUGAUGGACUACUAUACCCUUACACAACACAGCUCUGUGAUGGACUACUAUACCCUUACACAACACAGCUCUGUGAUGGACUACUAUACCCUUACACAACACAGCUCUGUGAUGGACCCCUAGACUCCGGAGACUCACUCGACAAACACAAGGCACUGGCAAAGCUGCCCGCGGCGGGUCAGAGGGUAGUGCCAAGGCAAGGCAGACGCCAUGCUGGAGAGCCAGGGCAAAGGGGGGAUGGGAAGGGUAUGUGGG
ensembl:lncRNA